GAUGAAGAACGUAGCGAAAUGCGAUAAGUAGUGUGAAUUGCAGAAUUCCGUGAAUCAUCGAAUCUUUGAACGCACAUUGCGCCUUCUGGUAUUCCGGAAGGCAUGCCUGUUCGAGAGUCAUUAACAACCGUUUCGAUCCCUUUCUUUCAGAAAUUACAAAGAGGAAAAGGGUUUGGUUAUGGUGGAGGAGGGAAAGGGAGCGUUUAGCCUGUAAAAAAAGAGGCUGUGUUCCGCCUCCCCCCCAAAAUUGUACAGGCGGUCGUGUGCGCCCACGCAUCGAGGUGUUGUAAAAGCUGCCACGGCACUUUUCACCUGUGCAGUGCGAGAUUGGCCAGCCGGUUUAAAAACCCCUCCAAACAAUCAAAGGUUGACCUCGGAUCAGGUAGGGAUACCCGCUGAACUUAAGCAUAUCAAUAAGCGGAG
rnacentral:misc_RNA from 1 species